GACGGAGGAUGCAAGCGUUAUCCGGAAUGAUUGGGCGUAAAGCGUCCGCAGAUGGCAGUUCAAGUCUGCUGUCAAAGACCGGGGCUUAACUUCGGAAAGGCAGUGGAAACUGAACAGCUAGAGUAUGGUAGGGGCAGAGGGAAUUCCUGGUGUAGCGGUGAAAUGCGUAGAGAUCAGGAAGAACAUCGGUGGCGAAGGCGCUCUGCUGGACCAUAACUGACACUCAGGGACGAAAGCUAGGGGAGCGAAUGGG
rnacentral:rRNA from 1 species